AGUGAACGCUGGCGGUAGGCCUAACACAUGCAAGUCGAACGGCAGCACAGUAAGAGCUUGCCCUUACGGGUGGCGAGUGGCGGACGGGUGAGGAAUACAUCGGAAUCUACUUUUUCGUGGGGGAUAACGUAGGGAAACUGACGCUAAUACCGCAUACGACCUACGGGUGAAAGCAGGGGAUCUUCGGACCUUUCGCGAUUGAAUGAGCCGAUGUCGGAUCAGCUAGUUGGCGGGGUAAAGGCCCACCAAGGCGACGAUGCGUAGCUGGUCUGAGAGGAUGAUCAGCCACACUGGAACUGAGACACGGUCCAGACUCCUACGGGAGGCAGCAGUGGGGAAUAUUGCACAAUGGGCGCAAGCCUGACCGAGCCACACCGCGUGGGUGAAGAAGGCCUUCGGGUUGUAAAGCCCUUUUGUUGGGAAAGAACAGCAGCAGGUUAAUCCCCCGAUGUUCUGACGGUACCCAAAGAAUAAGCCCCGGCUAACUUCGUG
rnacentral:rRNA from 1 species